rnacentral:rRNA from 1 species
GAUGAACGCUGGCGGCGUGCCUAAUACAUGCAAGUCGAGCGAACAGACGAGGAGCUUGCUCCUCUGACGUUAGCGGCGGACGGGUGAGUAACACGUGGAUAACCUACCUAUAAGACUGGGAUAACUUCGGGAAACCGGAGCUAAUACCGGAUAAUAUAUUGAACCGCAUGGUUCAAUAGUGAAAGACGGUUUUGCUGUCACUUAUAGAUGGAUCCGCGCCGCAUUAGCUAGUUGGUAAGGUAACGGCUUACCAAGGCAACGAUGCGUAGCCGACCUGAGAGGGUGAUCGGCCACGCUGGAGCUGAGACACGGUCCAGACUCCAACGGGAGGCAGCAGUAGGGAAUCGGCCGCAAUGGGCGAAAGCCUGACGGAGCAACGCCGCGUGAGUGACGAAGGUCUUCGGAUCGUAAAACUCUGUUAUUAGGGAAGAACAAAUGUGUAAGUAACUAUGCACGUCUUGACGGUACCUAAUCAGAAAGCCCCGCCUAACUACGU